AUCAGCCUUUUGGGUGUGAUUAUGUGGAGCGUGAGGAGUUAAACGCCUUCAUGCCUGCAUAUUCGUGCACUUUGGGUGUACUUGCCCGUGUGGUUGGUUAACAUCAAUUUUGGUUAUCAUAAAAUGACUGGAGGAAUGUAGCUUCGAUCUCGUAUUGAAGUGUUAUAGCCUUCGGUAGAUGUGAUGAUCGAGAUUGAGGAUUGCAACGGAUACCCUUCGGGGCUACCUGUCUGGUCUCUGAUCGUUGCUCUGGUGCCGAAAGCUUGCUUACGGUUAUCAAAGUCGAUGGUCAAUAGGUUAGAACGGGUUAAAUUCGUUAGGGAUGUUGACGUAAUGGCUUU
rnacentral:rRNA from 1 species